AUCAUUUCAGUCAGGAGACAUGUCGGUGUUCACCUUACUAAACGAGUGGGUUUAAAUAUAUAACCGAGGAAAAAGUGAGCGUACACUAAAACGUGUUUUUAUUUAGUAGACAAGAAGCUGACAGCUUAAAUGUGCACGGCACGGACGGCACGUAGGCCACCCAGCUGCCAUCUGUUUCCUCUGUAAAUACGUUUUCUACAAACUAUAGAGAACACAACGAAAGUUAAAAGCAUUUCUGAAACUUGACAAUUAGUUAUACGGCUUAUCGACCUACUGCAAAUUACCUUUUAUGGCCUGAUUUGAUCUCAGACCCGUGUGAGCAUGGUUUUUGUGCGUAAUUACAUGUUUAGAUCUUGAUGGGAGCGGUGUCUUCCAGAUGUAAUGCUGUGUGAGUGGCAUGAGGGCUGAUUCUACUGUUUGACUACACCAGAUGCAACUCCUGUCAACUAAGCCAGGAAACUGAGGUCACAAUUUGCACAGGAUAAAUCAACAAGAAGACUGGAAAAAUAUUGUUGGUCUGAUGAACGGAUUGCUGCUGUGAUAGUUCGACAGGCUUGGAGUUUGGUGUAAACCACAUGAAAGCACAGAGCCAUCCUGCCUUCUAUCAAUGCUUCAGGAGGCUGGUGGCAUUAUAGUGUCAGGGUGAUUUUUUGGAACACUUUAGGUCACUUAGUUUCUUGAACAUAAUGAGCUCUCUGUACUCAAAUCACCUCAACAGUCACCAUAUCUCAAUCCAAUAGAUCACCUUUGGGCUGUGAUGUAACAGGAGAUUCAGCUGUGUGAUGCCAUCAUCUCAUUGUGAAGCAAAAUCCAUGAGCAGCGUUUCCAGCACCUUGUUGAAUCGAUGCCACAAAGUAGUAAGGCACUUUUUAAGCAGCCACUGAGUUAAUUUCACUUGUAUUUGGGAAAUAACACAAAGAAACUGAUUUAGUCAAUGAGUUUAUUUCUUUCCCAGACCGAGACAAAACUAAAAUGACUGAAAAUGUUCCGAAUGAUAUUCAAAAUGUUGCACGCUUAUCCUACAAACAGUCCCCUCAAUCAUCUCAGGCAGCCCCACCUGCAGAGUUAAAAAGCCCUCCUUAUAGAUUUAUCCAAAAGUUUGGAAAAUGGUCAUUCAUCAAUACUGGGAAAGGCCAGAAAGCCAUGACAUUGUGUAAACUCUCGAACCCCCCCCCCCCCAAAAAGUACACAA